rnacentral:rRNA from 1 species
AUUGAACGCUGGCGGCAGGCCUAACACAUGCAAGUCGAACGGCUGAAGAGCGCUUGCUUCUUCAUUCAGCGGCCGACGGGUGAAUCAUGCCUAAGAAUAUGCCUACUUGUGGUUGAGAAGGUCCGCAAACGGGGGCUAAUACCGCAAUCGUCCUGAGGCAGAACGUGUGGAACCUUGGGAUCUUACGCCAUUAGAUGAUCCUAUGUCGGAUUAGCUAGUUGGCGGGGUAAAGGCCUACCAAGGCGACGAGCCGUAACUGGUCUGAGAGGAUGAUCAGGCACACUGGAACUGAGACACGGGCCAGACUCCUACGGGAGGCAGCAGUGGGGAAUAUUGGACAAUGGGCGAAAGCCUGAUCCAGCCAUGCCGCGUGUGUGAAGAAGGACUUCGGAUUGUAAAGCACUUUAAGUGGGGAGGAAGGGCAGCAAGUUAAUACCGGGCUGUUCUGACGUUACCAAAAGAAUAAGCACCGGCUAACUUCGUG